rnacentral:rRNA from 1 species
CGAACGCUGGCGGCGUGCUUAACACAUGCAAGUCGUACGGUAAGGCCCUUUCGGGGGUACACGAGUGGCGAACGGGUGAGUAACACGUGAGUAACCUGCCCACAACUUUGGGAUAACGCUAGGAAACUGGUGCUAAUACUGGAUAUGUGCUCCUGCUGCAUGGUGGGGGUUGGAAAGCUCCGGCGGUUGUGGAUGGACUCGCGGCCUAUCAGCUUGUUGGUGGGGUAGUGGCCUACCAAGGCGGCGACGGGUAGCCGGCCUGAGAGGGUGACCGGCCACAUUGGGACUGAGAUACGGCCCAGACUCCUACGGGAGGCAGCAGUGGGGAAUAUUGCACAAUGGGCGCAAGCCUGAUGCAGCAACGCCGCGUGCGGGAUGACGGCCUUCGGGUUGUAAACCGCUUUCAGCAGGGACGAAGCUUUUUGUGACGGUACCUGCAGAAGAAGCACCGGCUAACUAC